CCCAAUAUCCAACGCAUCUAAAACCUGACACUUGACAUCGAAUUUUUGUAGGAGAAAGACAAGAUAAGUGGCUUUGCGAAUCAAACAGUGAAGGGGAUAUACACUAUAAUCAGCUCAUCUUUUUCUGCAAGGAAAUGGGAUGCCCAGUUUUCCAAUUAUUGUGGCAAGGGGCUGCUGCACCUUCAAAUGUCUUGGCAUUUGGUUGGAGAGUCUUGUGGGGAGGAGUGCAGGCCAGGAUUUGAGUGUAUGAGGGGUGGGAUUAAGGUUUUGAUCUCCUUCUCGAGCUCAAGGAUUGGGAUUUGUUCACUAUUUGCUAACCUUGGUGGAGACUGGAGAACACAAAUUCACAUCAAUUGUUUAGCAGAACCCUUACUCUCAAUAAGGAGUGUUUCUUUCUUUUCCCUGUUUUCUUUCUCGCCUCACAUAUCUUAUUAAUUUCUCUUUUUUUGUUCAAUUUUUGGUUGAUCCUUCAAAGCUUGUAGACGAGAGAGCAGAGCACUACCUAAAGAAUGCUUUGGCUAGCCAUUUUUCCUGACUUUCUGUUGGAUUUGCUACUCAUUAUGGUUUUGGUAUUUAAGCUACCUGGGGUGAGGUAGACAUGAUUGUCUUGAUGGAAGUCAAGUUCUUGGCCUAGGUGAUAUUGGAGUUCAUGGAAAACUUGAUUCGGAUUGGUUUGGCUUAAGAGAAACAAGUUUCUAUUCAUAUUUACAUCAUGGGAUAUCGGUAUCCACAUUCUCCUAGUGCAUUAUCUCUAAUAUGCAGAGUGAAGGAAUUCAGUGGUGGUGAUGAACAUGAAUAAUGUGUUGCAAAGGUCCAGCUCUCCAUUAGAAAUACUAUGAAAAAUUAUCAGAACAGGUUCCAGCUCUACCAAAACCAGGCCUAUGAAUUUGCCCUUUACUUCUUGCAGGAGAUAAAGUGAGUGGGUUUUAAGCUGUUGAAGGUAGUGAAGUAGCAUAGUAUUAUGGGGGUUGUCCAACUUGGAUCUUUCUUGCCAUAUUGUUAGGCCUUAGUACGGUGCUCCCAGAAAAGUGUUGGAUGCACUCCAUGCAGCAUGGGGCGGAUUUCGGGAAUUAAAGGCAGAGGAGAGGGGCGGCGCAACCGGUUUGGCUAGCAAUUGUAUGGUCGCUUUGGCUCCAAAGGAACCAGGUAGUCUUCAGGAAAGAGCAGAAGGACGCUGAAGUCUUCGAUUUAGCCCAACUGAGAGUUUGGAUCUUGUUGAACGCUAAAUCCAAAACUCGAAAGCUUCCAUUGUUCUGUCUAUGAGUGGAUCUCAAAUCCCAUCCAUGUACUGCCUGGGAUACCUUGAAGCUCCAAUUGCUGGUAAUUUUCAGUGAGAGGUUUGAUCUUGCUCUCUUGCUAGAGCACGUUAAUGAUUUUGAUCCUUCCAUCCAAGCCCAAUUUUUUCUGGAGGGAAGAUUCCCACAAAAUCUCUAAUUUGUUAUUGACAUAACAUAACAUAACAAAUUAAUAUCUCAAUCUCACAAUAUUACGUUUAAAAAAACUCUUAAUAUGGAAAUAUGUCCUUGUUAAUUA